ACAGGGUAUUCAACUAAGAUUAAUGACCAUAAGAUAUACUUGAAAGUUCUGGCUGUCAAUGCUUGCUUUCUAAUAAAUGUCUGAUACAGAAAGAUUUUUGGAUUCAUGCAGGCGGUUUCACAUUGCCAGUCAAAAGUGGCGAGACCUACAUGCUACGGUUGAUCAAUGCAGCACUCAAUGAAGAGCUCUUCUUCAAAAUUGCAGGGCAUAAGCUUACAGUCGUCGAAGUUGAUGCCACCUAUGUUAAACCAUUCAAAACCGAUACAGUCCUAAUUGCCCCAGGCCAGACCACCAAUGUCCUUGUCACAACUAACAAAAAUACAGGCAAGUACUUGGUUGCUGCCUCCCCGUUCAUGGAUUCUCCAAUUGCUGUGGACAACAUGACAGCAACAGCCACUUUGCAGUAUUCAGGAGCACUUGCUAACUCCCCUACAACUCUCACCACCCCACCUCCAAAGAAUGCCACUGCAGUUGCCAACCAAUUUACCAACUCUCUACGCAGCCUUAACUCAAGAAGAUUUCCUGCCAAAGUCCCAUUGAACGUUGAUCACAACCUUUUCUUUACAGUUAGUCUAGGAGUUAACCCAUGUCCAAGUUGCAAAGCUGGUAAUGGCAGCAGGGUUGUUGCUAGUAUUAACAAUGUCACAUUUGUGAUGCCAACCACUGCCCUGCUCCAAGCACAUUUCCUCAACAUCAGCGGUGUGUUCACCACUGAUUUUCCUGCAAAGCCACCGCAUGUUUUCAAUUACACUGGCACUCCACCUACAAAUUUACAGACCAAAAGUGGAACUAAAGUUUAUAGGCUGAGCUACAACUCGACAGUCCAACUUGUUAUGCAAGAUACUGGUAUCAUAUCCCCUGAGAACCAUCCGAUCCAUUUACAUGGAUUCAAUUUCUUUGCUGUCGGUAGGGGAGUAGGGAAUUACAAUCCGAAGACUGAUACUAAGAAGUUUAACCUCGUUGAUCCUGUUGAACGGAACACAAUUGGAGUACCUUCUGGUGGAUGGGUGGCGAUAAGAUUUCGCGCCGAUAAUCCAGGUAAUUGCUGUUUAAUGUUUUCGUUUGGAAGUACAGAGCUUGGCAUUUUCAAGUUUGUUUAAUUUCAUGUUCUCUGAUUUUCUUCUUCGCAUCUCUUGUAGGAGUUUGGUUCAUGCAUUGCCAUCUAGAGGUGCACACUACAUGGGGACUUAAGAUGGCGUUCUUGGUAGACAAUGGCAAAGGCCCUAAGGAGUCUCUUCUACCGCCGCCAAGCGACCUUCCAAAAUGUUGAAGUCAGAUCAAGAACUAUACUAACUCGAGGGAUAGAAGCCAUACUUUAUCAGGAAACUUGGUCCCGGUAGAAACAUUCUAUGCUCGAAGAGAGCAGAGUGUGUAUAUAUAUAAUUUGAGGGUUAAAGAUCCGAUUUGUUUCUUGAGUGAAUUGGAAGAUUUGCUCAAGCGAGUUUGCAUAAAAUUUUGUGAGCGGUAGAGCUGUUUCAAUUCAAAUGUUAUUUUUUCUUGAAUAAAUAUAUAUAUAUUGAAGAUUUGAUCACAAAGCCAUUCAUGAUCAAUAAAACUUGUAUGCUUCUAAAUAUGUUCAUGGGUCGGGUUGGAUAAGACCUAGAUCAGGCCCGAUUAACUUUUCUAAGUUAUAUUGACCCGUAUCUGGCCAGAAUCGAUCCUUGGGCUUUCAAGCCCUUUAAGAAAUAAAAAAUAAAAAAUAAAAGCAAAAUAAUAUGUAGCAAUAGAAAUUAGUUUUUUUUUUUUUGAGACAAGUAUCGAAAUUGUUAAAGAAUAAGGAAGCAAAGUUUUAGCACGGCGAAACAAAUAUUUAUAUAACGCGGCAAUGAUUAGAAAUUCUAGCAAUGAUUGCAUUUCUUAGACCCAAAAGCUGUAUGUUUUUAAAUAUUUUUGAUAUGGUAAAGUAAGAAAUUAUUAUUUUAAUAUAUUUUAAAAUAAAAAAUUUUAAAAAUUAAUUUUUAUCACAAUCUCAAAUAAACAUUAGGUGAAAAGAAAAAAGAAAAGGAACAAUACAAACUGAAGCAUGGAGUUAGAACUUAAUUUUGUAGUUUAUUAAAAUAAAUAAAUUAAUUAUGGUUUUAACUAUAUAUUUACUCUUUUUGUUUUUAAAACCAUUUAUAACUUAAUAUUUUUCAUCCCUUUUAUGUUGUUUUUUCAAUAUAUUUAUUUUUUGUUUUAAAAACAGAAAAAAGAAAAGAAAAAGAAAAAGAUAAAUUAAGAAGAUUGAUAAAAUAGAAGAUACCUUUAUUUUUUUUCCCAAUAUGCUACGGCUAAAACUGGUUAGGAAAAUAGUGUAGCUGCAGAUGCAUUGGCACUGUUCACUAGAACAUUCUAAUGACAUCUUUGUCUUUUCCAUAAAAAAAACUUAUAACUAGUUUCUGGGAACAUGAAAGUCUUUUGACGAUGUGCAUUAGUCAUUCUUAAAUUAAUUAGGGGCAAUUAUGUCUUUUUCAAUUUAAAAAUACAGUGAAAAGACCGAAAUGCCCUUAAAAGCAAAAAAUUCAAUGCUAGCAUCAAGGGACAAUUUGAUACUUUUAAAAUUGUUUUUUUCUAUUAUUAUCAUGUAAGAUGAGGAGCAAUUUUGUAUUUGGAUAAAUAUAUAUAAAAAAUAAAAAACAUAGUGAAACGAUCAAAAUGUCCUUGGAAGUCUAAACAUAAAAAAAAAUGAUCUCAAGGGACUUUUUCCAUAGGUUUUUAUCUCAAAGCCUUCCCAAACUUCGAUUGAUAUUCAAUUUUAACUCUAUAAAAAAUAAGGUCUGUGAAAUCUUUUGGUAAAAUAUCAAUUCGAUCCAACGUUCAAAUUAAAAAUUAUGCUUGUUAGCGUAAAACUGUACAUUAGAAAAAAAAAGCCCAAAAUUACCUCUCAUUACCCAACCCUUUUAUGGACCACAUUAAUCAAGGCUUAGUCACCUUUUCUUGAAAAUUUAAAACUUGACUUGACCCAAAUAUCUUGAAUAAGCCCAUCGAAUAACUCUUCAAUCUUUUUGGUCGAAUGAUACAAGGUCAAAAUCUUUGGCUUCUCCUUCCUCAUUCUCAUCAACCAUCUCAUCAAUGAUCCUACACCUCACCAAACAUCACAUUCAUCCUCUCAAAUUGUUGUUCUAUAACCAGCAAUUUAAGAUGUCCUCCUUCUUCUUUUCAGAGGAUGCCCCGUCUUUGGAAGACAUUAUCAAAUUUAAAAUUUUACGUUAGUAAUAAAAAACAAUUAUCAUCACUCACUCCCUUAUGUGUUUACACUCUAUAAUCAACGGGUUGUAGUUGUUCAUCCAAUAGCUUCGAUUCUUUGGUUCAAGGUAAACACUAGAUCGAGUUUUUAUCUUCAAUUCGAUUUUAUCUUUUUUGGGUUGUAUUUUUUCUUGUUUAUGAGUUCACAUCACAAGAAACUAUUUUAUAAUAAACCUAAACCUAGGUUCGAGCCACAUCGUGUCGACACGUGCUUGCGUAUGGGUUUAAGUUCAAAACCCACUUUGCUUAUGUCAUUUUCCCUCUAAAAAAUUGGGUUCCUUUUGGUCUCAAUAUUAACUCUUCGCCUUCUCAUUAAAUAAGUCACAAGAAAAACUUAUUUCUUUCCAACACGGAUAGAGUUUUUAAAGGGUUUGGGUUUCACUAAAACAUGUCAAUCAAAGGUUCUUUGAGAAUAAUUUUUUAUUCAUCCAUAAUUUAAUUAAAUCAUAUUAGUGUUCUAUGUUAAAGAGCUUAUAUUGGAUAUUAAAUUCCAACAAAGUUUUAACCCCAAAAAUGAAUGGAUCCACUUUUAAUUUGGCCUCAAAUAUUUCCAUUAACCAUGUUCCAAGACAAAAUUUGCAACAAAAUGUCCCAUUAACAAAGCAGAAUGUUUUUGUUACAAUACUAAUGUCAGUAAAAAUGAGUAGAGAAUGUUGAUGAAUUUAGAUAUAACUAGUUUAUUUUCUACACUAUCAUUGUGGGUUGGAUGAAAUUUUUUUGGAACAUAAGAAAAUAAUAUAUAAACCAUAUGAAACUUUUCGGCAUUGUCAUUAAAUUAGGUGCAACAGUUCAAACUUGACAACUCUUAACAUGACUAUUUGUUUAGCUCAAGUUUUUAAUUAAAUCAUAUGAAAGUUGCUCUUAUGUGACAUUGUUUACUGGGUAGGUGCAAAGAAAAAAAAACACGUUAGGUUCAACCUAAUCAACCCACCAAACUCGUGAUCGAAGUUAUGAGCUUCACUAGGUCAAAUUAAUUUUUUUUAUUUUAUUAUAUAAUAAAAAUAUAAAUUUUUAUUUACCAUCAACACAAUACUAAAAAAUAAAAUUAAAAAGAAAAACUUCACAUUAAAAGAUAAUAUUGAAAGAAAAAAAUAAAAUAUGUAAAAAAUACUCUAAUGGUGUGCUAUGAUAAAGCCAAACACGCGGGCACGUGGGCUUGGGGAAGGCCUGCAGCUUGGGCUGUGCACAUCUUUUUUAUUUGCAAAAAAGAAGAAAAGCAACCUCUCAUCUAUCUUUUGAAAGAAUAUACUGCUAUCUGUAGCUAGGAAUCAAACCCACAACCUCCACACCUACCUCCUUGCUUACCACCACUUGAACUAUGACAAGAACUUAACCAAGCUAUUAAAAUAUAUCAACUUGAUUUUAAUAACUAAGCCAAAUCCAGCCAUUUAGUUGUUCCUUUUUACUAUUAGAUUUGAAAUCAAUGGUUUUAACAAACCAGCAUUUUAGACAUUCCCAAAACAGACGGAUGCGCAAAAGCAUUGAAUUGAAUUGAAAAUAUUGAUCGGAUCAUGCAUGGAUUUUCAUAUAAAAAAAACACAUCACCGUGGAAAGGACCUGGUGAGCACUCAUCAUUAGAAUUCAGAGCCGCAAGUAAUCCUGGGACAUCCUUUACAAGGACUACAAGUAAUGCCUUGAAAAAGAGAGUUCGGCCUACCAAACUUAACCCGUAUUGUUCUUAAAUCUACGAAGAGCACCAGGUCCUAAAAAAGAGUAGCAAAAUAAAAUAAAUUCUAAGGCAACUAAUUGAAAAUGGUGAUUAAUUAAGGUGACUUGUCCGUUGCUGAUCAAUUGACCACAUGUUCUUUUACUCUAUUUUUAUAUUGUUGUGAACCUACUUGAGUAAAUAGCAGGACAAGAGAAUGUUUUCAGGAUAAAUAUGUAGGAAGUGGGUGCCAAAUUUAAUCAUUUAAUUUACAGAUUUCCUAUGCCACCAAAUUAUCAAACUUCCAUGCAAGGUUCCUAAUUAAUAAAUGCAAAAAUUAGAAAACACAUGGUCUGCUUCCCAAACUAUGUUGAUCCAUGAACAAGACGACUUUAUGUAGCAUGUAAGAAACCUAGUAAGAUUAGGCUUCUAAUCCUUGUUUUCCAAGAAUGAACUCACCCACCUAACCUAACUGUGAAAAACGACAUGGCAGCAAUUCCCAUAUUCCCUUUAUAAGGUUGAGGUAGCCAGUCACGGAUGAAGACAACAAGCUUGAAAGCAAGAAGGAAACCAACAGCAACAGAGAGAUUGCCAAAGAAAGGUCUCGAAGUCAGCAAAUAUGGAGUACUCCAAUUUGCUCAUCCGUUUUAUGCUUCUUGCUGUCUGCCUCCUCCCCGCUUUGGUCGAGUGCAGGAUUCGGCAUUACAAGUUCAAUGUAAGUUAAAUGCUGUAGCAAGCUUCCAUGUGACGAAAGCCUGAACUGCUUGCGCUUUAGGUCAUUAGUCUCAUUCAUGUGACGAAAAUCUUCUUUGAAAUGCAUUUCGUUAUUAGAAGAUAGCCAUGUUUUGCACGAUGCAUUGCGCAUCAUGACACUGCCUUGGCUUAAAAUCAUGCAACUUUACCCAUAUCUUUUUCCUGACUAGUCCAUGAUUCAAAUGGAAAUCAUAGAGUUUCCACCUACCUAUAGCCACUAUUUUAAAUACCAGAAAAGUUUAUUCUCAUGCUUACUUUAUGGUUAAAUAAUUGCAGCAGAAAGCUCUCACUAUAUAUAUAUAUAUAUAUAUAUAUAUAUAUAUAUAUAUAUAUAUGUUCAAGAAACCAUUAAAAAAAUAUUAAAUAGGAAAAGGGUGGUAAGAUCUCAAAGCACUGUAGUGACAUAAUUUGUCACAACAAAUUAAACAAUAUGGACAGUUUAGCAUUUGAUGUAGAAAUGAGCUUAAAUAUUUCACCUAUCAUUUCAACAGGUGGUGAUGAAAAAUACUACCAGACUAUGCUCUAGGAAGCCGAUUGUUACCGUCAAUGGCCGCUUCCCAGGACCCACUCUGUAUGCCAGAGAACACGAUACAGUUCUUGUAAAAGUUGUUAACCAUGUCAAAUAUAAUGUUUCUAUUCACUGGUAAGCUAACGAAACAAACCCUGUAUAACAGUUAUACUUCAAUUCAUCAUGAAUGAUACCGAUGCGGAUUUUUCUUGGUAUUCUGCAGGCAUGGCAUUAGGCAACUAAGAACGGGCUGGGCUGAUGGACCAGCAUACAUUACACAAUGCCCCAUUCAGCCAGGGCAAAGCUAUGUCUACAAUUUCACAAUCACUGGUCAGAGGGGCACACUUCUUUGGCACGCACAUAUUCUCUGGCUAAGGGCCACAGUUCAUGGUGCCCUGGUUGUCUUGCCUAAACGCGGCAUCCCCUACCCAUUCCCAGCUCCUCAUAAAGAAGUGCUUGUUGUAUUAGGUGAGCAGGAUACAUAAUAGCUAUUUCUUUCACUAAAACUUUUGAAAUUCUGUGCAUUCCGCCAUAAUUCAAAUCUUUAAGGUUCAUGGUUAUUAAAUAUGUAACCUGAGACUAAGGUGGUGACGUGAAAUUGCAGCUGAAUGGUGGAAAUCAGAUACUGAAGCUGUGAUCAACGAGGCUCUUAAAUCUGGAUUAGCUCCAAAUGUCUCUGAUGCUCACACAAUUAACGGCCAUCCAGGAGCUGUCUCAGCUUGUUCUUCACAGGGUAUUCAACUAAGAUUAAUGACCAUAAGAUAUACCUGUGAGUUCUGGCUCUCAAUGCUUGCUUUCUAAUAGAGGUCUGAUACAGAAAGAUUUUUGGAUUCAUGCAGGCGGUUUCACAUUGCCAGUCAAAAGUGGCGAGACCUACAUGCUACGGUUGAUCAAUGCUGCACUCAAUGAAGAGCUCUUCUUCAAAAUUGCAGGGCAUAAGCUUACAGUCGUCGAAGUGGAUGCCACCUAUGUUAAACCAUUCAAAACCGAUACAGUCCUAAUUGCCCCAGGCCAGACCACCAAUGUCCUUGUCACAGCUAACAAAAAUACAGGCAAGUACUUGGUUGCUGCCUCCCCGUUCAUGGAUGCUCCAAUUGCUGUGGACAACAUGACAGCAACAGCCACUUUGCAGUAUUCAGGAGCACUUGCUAACUCCCCUACAACUCUCACCACCCCACCUCCAAAGAAUGCCACUGCAGUUGCCAACCAAUUUACCAACUCUCUACGCAGCCUUAACUCAAGAAGAUUUCCUGCCAAAGUCCCAUUGAACGUUGAUCACAACCUUUUCUUUACAGUUGGUCUAGGAGUUAACCCAUGUCCAAGUUGCAAAGCUGGUAAUGGCAGCAGGGUUGUUGCUAGUAUUAACAAUGUCACAUUUGUGAUGCCAACCACUGCCCUGCUCCAAGCACAUUUCCUCAACAUCAGCGGUGUGUUCACCACUGAUUUUCCUGCAAAGCCACCGCAUGUUUUCAAUUACACUGGCACUCCACCUACAAAUUUACAGACCAAAAGUGGAACUAAAGUUUAUAGGCUGAGCUACAACUCGACAGUCCAACUUGUUAUGCAAGAUACUGGGAUCAUAUCCCCUGAGAACCAUCCGAUCCAUUUACAUGGAUUCAAUUUCUUUGCUGUCGGUAGGGGAGUAGGGAAUUACAAUCCGAAGACUGAUACUAAGAAAUUUAACCUCGUUGAUCCUGUUGAACGGAACACAAUUGGAGUACCUUCUGGUGGAUGGGUGGCGAUAAGAUUUCGCGCCGAUAAUCCAGGUAAUUGCUGUUUAAUGUUUUCGUUUGGAAGUACAGAGCUUGGCAUUUUCAAGUUUGUUUAAUUUCAUGUUCUCUGAUUUUCUUCUUCGCAUCUCUUGUAGGAGUUUGGUUCAUGCAUUGCCAUCUAGAGGUGCACACUACAUGGGGACUUAAGAUGGCGUUCUUGGUAGACAAUGGCAAAGGCCCUAAGGAGUCUCUUCUACCGCCGCCAAGCGACCUUCCAAAAUGUUGAAGUCAGAUCAAGAACUAUACUAACUCGAGGGAUAGAAGCCAUACUUUAUCAGGAAACUUGGUCCCGGUAGAAACAUUCUAUGAUCGAAGAGAGCAGAGUGUGUAUAUAUAUAAUUUGAGGGUUUAAGAUCCGAUUUGUUUCUUGAGUGAAUUGGAAGAUUUGCUCAAGCGAGUUUUAAUAAAAUUUUGUGAGCGGUAGAGCUGUUUCAAUUCAAAUGUUAUUUUUUCUUGAAUAAAUAUAUCUAUUGAAGAUUUGAUCACGAAGCCAUUCAUGAUCAAUAAAACUUGUAUGUUCUAUAUAUGUUCAUGUGUCGGGUCGGAUUAGACCUAGAUCAGGCCCGAUUAAUUUUUCUAAGCUAUAUUGACCCGAGUCUAGUCAGAAUCGAUACUUGGGCUUUCAAGCCCUUCAAGAAAUUAAAAAAUGAAAGCAAAUAAUAAAUGCUAGAGUUCGAUUAGAACUAGUCUUUUCAUUUUUCAACAAGUAUCAAAAUUGUUAACGACCAAGGAAGCAAAGUUUUAGCACCGUGAAACAAAUAUUUAUAUAUAUAUCACGGCAAUGAUUAGAAAUUCUAGCAAUGAUUGCAUUUCUUAGACCCAAAAGCUGUAUGUUUUUAAAUAUUUUUUAUAGGGUAAUGUUAAAAAUUAUUAUUUUGAUAUAUUUUAAAAUAAAAAAUAAUUUUAAAAAUAAUUUUUAUCAUAUUCUUAAAUAAAUAUUAGGUGAAAAGAGAAAGAAAGGGAAAAAUAUAAACUGAAGCAUGGAGUGACUAGUAACUUAAUUUUGUAGUUUAUUAAAAUAAAUUAAUUAAUUAUAGUUGUAACUAUAUAUUUACUCUCUUUGUUUUUAAAACCAUUUAUAACUUAAUAUUUUUCAUCUAUUAUAUGUUGUUCUUCUAAUUUAUUUAUUUUUUGUUUUAAAAACAAAAAAAAAAGAAAAAGAUAAAAUAAGAAGAUUGAUAAAAUAAAAGAUACCUUCAUUUUUUUUUCAAAUAUGCUAUAGCUAAAAUUGGUUAGGAAAAUAGUGUAGCUGCAGAUAUAUUGACACUGUUCACUAGAACAUUCUAAUGAAGUGAACGUUCUAAUGACGUCUUUGUCUUUUCCAUCAAAAAACUUAUAACUAGUUACUUGGGACAUCAAAGUCUUUUGAUGAGGCACAUUAGUCAUUUCUAAAUUGACUAGGGGAAAUUAUGUCUUUUCCAAUUUAAAAAAUACAGUGAAAUUUCUAAAAUGCUCUUUUAAAAGCAAAAAUCUCAAUAUUGGCAUCAAAGGACAAUUUGAUACUUUUAAAAUGGUUUUUUUUUGUUAUUAUCAUGUAAGAUGAGAAUCAAAAAUAUAUUGAAACGAUUGAAAUGUCCAUAGAAGUCAAAAAAUAAAAUAAAAAUGAUCUUAAAGGGCUUUUUCCAAAGGUUUUUUCAUUAUUAACAUGUAAAAUCAUGGGUGAUUUGAUAUUUGAAUAAAACAAAAUUCAGGCAUAUGUACGACACCAUGAGGCACGCGGGAGGCGCCAACACACUAUGGAUGACGUGUGUGACGCCUUCCAUUGUCCAAAAAUACCCUUUCAUCAUGUCAUUGGAAGCACUGUCGUGUUUUGUUUCCUGUUGGUAUGAUACAUGUCUUUGGUGGUGAUUCAGUUUGUCGUCGAAAGGACUUUCUAUUCUAUUCUUUUUCCUUCUCUUCUCUCUUCUCCCUUAAAAAAUAUAGUUUGCCCUUUUUGUUCUUGAUGUUUCAACUUCAAUAAUUAUUCUUUUGAUUUUUAAUUUUUGUUCCGGGCUCUUUUAUAGAAAUCUUAUUUGUUUUUAAUUUCAUUCUUCAAUCACAAUUCACUAAAUAUCAUAUUCUUUAAUUUGGUCAUUCUUUUGAUUUAUAAUUUUUGUGUAGCCUUAACAAAUAAGGUGUACCUUGCAAAAAUUGGAGCUCUGUUACCGCCUCUCGUGUGUCCAUGUAAAAUAAAGAAACCACUAACUUUUGAAUCCUAAUGAAACAUGGGAACCUUGCCAAUUAAUAACUCUAAUUAUGUCGCCUCAAAUGUCCUUGUAGAAUAAGGAAGUCACUUUAUAGGAAAUCUAUAAGUUAGAAGGAAAGAUAAUCCUAAACCAACUAGGAAACUAAUGCAAUUCCCGCAUAGUACUUUCUAGUUUUUAUCUCAAGGUCUUUCUAAACUCCGAUUGAUAUUUAAUUUUAACCCUAUAAAAAUAAGAUCUGUGAAAUCUUUUGGUAAAAUAUCAAUUCGAUCCAACAUUCAGAUUGAAAAUUAUGAUUGUUAGGGUAAAACUGUAUAUUAGAAGAAAACAAAUGCCCAAAAUUACCUCUCCUUACCCAACCCUUUCAUGGACCACAUUGAUCAAAGCUUAGUCACCCCUUCUUGAAAUUUUGAAACUUGACUUGACCAAAAUAUCUUAAAUAAGCCCAUCGAAUACCUUUUCAAUCUUCUUGGUCGAAUAAUGCAAGGUCAAAAUCUUUGGCUUCUCCUUCCUCAUUCUCAUCAACCAUCUCAUCGAUGAUCCUACACCUCACCAAACAUCACAUUCAUCCUCUCAAAUUGUUGUUCUAUACCCCUAACAAAAAUAAGAUGUUCUCCUCCUCCUUUUUAGAGGAUGCUCCGUCUUUGGAAGACAUUGUCAAAUUUAAAAUUUUACGUUAGCAAUAAAAAACAAUUAUCAUCAUUUACUCCCUUACGUGUUUACACUCAAUAAUCAACGGGUUAUGGUCGUUCAUCCAUUAGCUUCGAUUCUUUGGUUCAAGGUAUUCACUAUAUCAAGUUUUUAUCUUCAAUUCGAUUUGUCUUUUUGGGUUGUAUUUUUUCUUGUUUAUGAGUUCACAUCACAAGAAACUAUUUUAUAAUAAACUCAAACCUAGGCUCAAGCCACAUCAUGUCAACGCGUACUUGCAUAUUCAAAACCCACUUUACUUAUGUCAUUUUCCCUCUAAAAAAUUAGGUUCCUAUUGGUCUCAAUAUUAACUCUUCACCUUCUCACUAAAUAAGCCACAAGAAAAACUUAUUUCUUUCUAAUGUGGGAUAGAGUUUUUAGAAGGCUUUGGGUUUCACUAAAAUAUAUGAAUCAAUGGUUAUUUGAGAAUAAUUUUUUAUUCAUCCACAAUUUAUUUAAAUCAUAUUAGUAGUAUAUGUUAAAGAGCUUAUGUUGGAGAUUAAAUUCCAACACAGUUUUAACCCCAAAAGUGAAUGGAUCCACUUUUAAUUUGGCAUCAAAUAUUUUCAUUAACCAUGUUCCUAGACAAAAUUUGCAACAAAAUAUCCUCCUAACAAAGCAGAAUGUUUUUGUUACAAUACUAAUGUCAGUAAAAAUGAGUAACGGAUGUUGAUGUAUUUAGAUAUAACUAGUUUAUUUCCUACACUAUCGUUGUGGGUUGUAUGAAAUUUUUUUGGAAUAUAAGAAAACAAUAUAUAAAUUAUAUAAAACUUUUUUGCAUUGUUAUUAAACUAAGUACAAUGGUUCAAACUUGACAACUCUCAACAUGACUAUUUGUUUAGCCCAAGUUUUAAAUUAAAUCAUAUGAAAGUUGCCGUUAUGUGACCUUGUUUAUUGGGUAAGUGCAAAGAAAAACAAGGAGCAUGUCAGGUUAAACAUAAUCAACCCGCCAAAACCGUGACAGAAGUUAUAGGCUCUACUAGGUCAAAUUAUUUUUUAUUUUAUUUUAUUAUAUAAUAAAAAAAUAUAAAAUUUGAUUUACCAUUAACCCAAUAACCCAAUACUACAAAAUAAAAUUAAAGAAAAACCUCACAUUAAAGGAAUAAAAAAUAAAUAAAUAUGACAAAAAAUACUCAAAUGGUGUGUUACGAUAAAGCCAAACACGUGGGCUUGGGGAGGCCCACAGACGUGGCCCGUACACCUUUUUUUUAUUUGAAAAAAAAAAUCAACAUUCUCAUUUUUUAUUUGAAAAAAUAUAUUGCUGUCAGUAGGAAUCGAACCCAACACCUAUCUGCUUACUUACAACCACUUGAAUUAUGAAACGAACUACGAACUUGUUAACUAAGCUGUUAAAAUAUAUCAACUUAAUUUGAAUAAUUAAGUCAAAUCAAGUCAUUUAGUUGUUUCCUUUUUACUAUUAGAUUUGAAAUCAAUGGUUUUAACAAACCAGCAUUUUAGACUUUCCCAAAACAGACGUAUGCGCAAAAACAUUGAAUUGAAUUGAAAAUAUUGAUCUGAUCAUGCAUGGAUUUUCAUAUAAAAAAAACACAUCACCGUGGAAAGGACCUGGUGAGCAUUCAUCAGUAGAAUUCAGAGUCGCAAGUAAUCCUGGGACAUCCUUUACAAGGACUACAAGUAAUGCCUUGAAAAAGAGAGUUCGGCCUACCCAACUUGUAACCCGUAUUGUUCUUACAUCUACGAAGAGCACUACGUCGUAAAAAAGAGUAACAAAAUAAAAUAAACUCUAAGGCAACCAAAUGAAAAUGGUGAUUAAUUAAGGUGACUUGUCUGUUGCUGAUCAAUUGACCUCAUGUUCUUUUACUCUAUUUUUAUAUUGUUGUGAACCUACUUGAGUAAAAAGGACGACAAGAGAAUGUUUUCAGGAUUAAUAUGUAGGAAGUGGGUGCCAAAUUUAAUCAUUUAAUUUACAGAUAUCCUAUGCCAAGAAAUUAUCAAACUUCCAUGCAAGGUUCCUAAUUAAUAAAUGCAAAAAUUAGAAAACACAUGUUCUGCUUCCCAAUCUAUGUUGAUCCAUGAACAAGAAGACUUUAUGUAGCAUGUAAGAAACCUAGUAAGAUUAGGCUUCUAAUCCUUGUUUUCCAAGAAUGAACUCACCCACCUAACCUAACUGUGAAAAACGACAUGGCAGCAAUUCCCAUAUUCCCUUUAUAAGGUUGAGGUAGCCAGUCACGGAUGAAGACAACAAGCUUGAAAGCAAGAAGGAAACCAACAGCAACAGAGAGAUUGCCAAAGAAAGGUCUCGAAGUCAGCAAAUAUGGAGUACUCCAAUUGGCUCAUCCGUUUUAUGCUUCUUGCUGUCUGCCUCCUCCCUGCUUUGGUCGAGUGCAGGAUUCGGCAUUACAAGUUCAAUGUAAGUUAAAUGCUGUAGCAAGCUUCCAUGUGACGAAAGCGUGAACUGCUUGAGCUUUCGGUCAUUAGUCUCAUUCAUGUGACGAAAAUCUUCUUUGAAAUGCAUUUCGUUAUUAGAAGAUAGCCAUGUUUUGCACGAUGCAUUGCACAUCAUGACACUGCCUUGGCUUAAAAUCAUGCAACUUUACCCAUAUCUUUUUCCUGACUAGUCCAUGAUUCAAAUGGAAAUCAUAGAGUUUCCACCUACCUAUAGCCACUAUUUUAAAUACCAGAAAAGUUUAUUCUCAUGCUUACUUUAUGGUUAAAUAAUUGCAGCAGAAAGCUCUCACUAUAUAUAUAUAUAUAUAUAUAUAUAUAUGUUCAAGAAACCAUUAAAAAAAUAUUAAAUAGGAAAAGGGUGGUAAGAUCUCAAAGCACUGUAGUGACAUAAUUUGUCACAACAAAUUAAACAAUAUGGACAGUUUAGCAGUCAUGACCUUUGAAUUAUAUACAUUUGAUGUAGAAAUGAGCUUAAAUAUUUCACCUAUCAUUUCAACAGGUGGUGAUGAAAAAUACUACCAGACUAUGCUCUAGGAAGCCGAUUGUUACCGUCAAUGGCCGCUUCCCAGGACCCACUCUGUAUGCCAGAGAACACGAUACAGUUCUUGUAAAAGUUGUUAACCAUGUCAAAUAUAAUGUUUCUAUUCACUGGUAAGCUAACGAAACAAACCCCGUAUAACAGUUAUACUUCAAUUGAUCAUGAAUGAUACCGAUGCGGAUUUUUCUUGGUAUUCGGCAGGCAUGGCAUUAGGCAACUAAGAACGGGCUGGGCUGAUGGACCAGCAUACAUUACACAAUGCCCCAUUCAGCCAGGGCAAAGCUAUGUCUACAAUUUCACAAUCACUGGUCAGAGGGGCACACUUCUUUGGCACGCACAUAUUCUCUGGCUAAGGGCCACAGUUCAUGGUGCCAUGGUUGUCUUGCCUAAACGCGGCAUCCCCUACCCAUUCCCAGCUCCUCAUAAAGAAGUGGUUGUUGUAUUAGGUGAGCACGAUACAUAAUAGUUAUUUCUUUCACUAAAACUUUUGAAAUUAUGUGCAUUCCGACCAUAAUUCAAUGCUUUAAGGUUCAUGUUUAUUAAAUAUGUAACCUGAGACUAAUGUGGUGACGUGAAAUUGCAGCUGAAUGGUGGAAAUCAGAUACUGAAGCUGUGAUCAACGAGGCUCUUAAAUCUGGAUUAGCUCCAAAUGUCUCUGAUGCUCACACAAUUAACGGCCAUCCAGGAGCUGUCUCAGCUUGUUCUUCACAGGGUAUUCAACUAAGAUUAAUGACCAUAAGAUAUACCUGAGAGUUCUGGCUCUCAAUGCUUGCUUUCUAAUAAAGGUCUGAUACAGAAAGAUUUUUGGAUUCAUGCAGGCGGUUUCACAUUGCCAGUCAAAAGUGGCGAGACCUACAUGCUACGGUUGAUCAAUGCUGCACUCAAUGAAGAGCUCUUCUUCAAAAUUGCAGGGCACAAGCUUACAGUCGUCGAAGUUGAUGCCACCUAUGUUAAACCAUUCAAAACCGAUACAGUCCUAAUUGCCCCAGGCCAGACCACCAAUGUCCUUGUCACAACUAACAAAAAUACAGGCAAGUACUUGGUUGCUGCCUCCCCGUUCAUGGAUGCUCCAAUUGCUGUGGACAACAUGACAGCA
rnacentral:lncRNA from 1 species